GCUGCUGAACAGCAAGCUGUAUGGCAGGGAGAAGCUUGCAAUGAGCUUUGCUCUGGGAUCGAACUUGGGACCUUGCACUUGUGAAGCAGGCGGUGGAACCACUGAGCUAAAUCCCUGGCACCAGAUGAUUAGAUUCUUAAGAUGUGCUCUGUUUUCUGGACAUAGACACAGACACACACACACACACACACACACACACACACACGCACAAAUGAUACAGAAUUUAGGAAAGAACCAAGCUAUAAAAUCAGUGUACACAAAUCAAUAGCCUUUUCUGUGCAAUGGGCUGGAAACAACCGUGUAUCUCUUUAAAUAAAUCAUGUGUUGAAAUGCUCACCCCUGGUGUUACAGUAUUAGGAACAGGAGCCUUUGAGAGGAGAAGAGAGAGCUCUGAUGAAUAGGAUGAAUGCUCUUAUAAUGGGGCCCCAGGGAUCUGCCUUGCUGUCCUUCCUCUAUGUGAAUACACAAGUGGAAGUCUGACAGUCUGCAACCCUGAGGGUCCUAGCCUGUGUCCCGCUAUGCAGCCGUUCUAAUCUCAGACUUCUAGUCUACAGAACUGUGAAACAUUAAUUUCUGGUGUUCAUAGGCCCUGAAGUCUGGUAGUCUCUUGAUAUUUGAACAACAUAUACAUUGUUGUAAGAUUUUAUUCUUUUUUGUGUACCAGUUUCUCAGAUACAUGGUACUUUGUUCCACGGUAUAGGGUAGGAUGUUACAGUAAAAUAAACAGAAUGGCGGAGGUAUUUGUUGGUUGUUUACUAACUUUUAAAAACAUUCUUAUUUUGUUUGUAAAGGUGGUAUUAAGCUCACAUCGAGUGCUUAUAAUAAACUCAUUUUGCAUGUCUAUUUGGCAUGUAUUUAACUAGAUAAAACACUGGG
rnacentral:lncRNA from 1 species